UACAGAGGUCUCAAGCGUUGUUCGGAUUCAUUGGGCGUAAAGGGUGCGUAGGCGGCGCGGUAAGUCGGGUGUGAAAUCUCGGGGCUUAACUCCGAAACUGCAUUCGAUACUGCCGUGCUUGAGGACUGGAGAGGAGACUGGAAUUUACGGUGUAGCGGUGAAACGCGUAGAUAUCGUAAGGAAGACCAGUGGCGAAGGCGGGUCUCUGGACAGUUCCUGACGCUGAGGCACGAAGGUCAGGGGAGCAAACGGG
rnacentral:rRNA from 1 species